rnacentral:tRNA from 1 species
GAGGGUAUAGCUCAAAUGGCAGAGCACAUGCUUAGCAUGCACGAGGUCUUGGUUUCCAUCCCCAGUACCUCCA